CCCCCCCCCCCCCCCCCCCCCCCCCCCGGAUGUUUGUAGGGAUGGAGCUCAGCCCCCGCAGAGCUCCGCGACCCCUCUGCCCCCGGCAGGUGCUGCGAAUGACCAUCCACGGGCUGGAUGGCGAGGGGACCCCCCAGCAGCUCGCCAUGAGCAAGAAGGAAAGGACCGGGACGUUCGCGGUGCGGGAUGGGCUCAACGCCUCGGCCACCGUGGUGUACGACUACAGCAAGCUGCUGGUCGGCUACAGGUCCUGGCGUCGCCGCGCCUGCUACAUCACCCGCGUGGACAAGGACAACUUCCCGGGGCUGGACGCUGUCACCGAGACCUUCCAGCGGCGCCAGGGUGAGGAGCUUGGGGACAAGGCCGUGGCUCUGGCUGACCGCUCCAUCCUGGGCACCACCAUCAACAUCCUCUGCAGCGCCGUGCCCGUGUUCUGGGCCUAGGGACAGCGACGUGGGGGUGGCGCUGUCCCCCACGCUGCCUUUCAAGCGGGACACCGGGGAAUCUCCUCCUCCUCCUCCUCGUCCCCAUCCCGGGGACAGCCCGGCCCCCCCCCCCCCCCCCCCCCCCCCCCCCCCCCCCCCCCCCCCCCCCCCCCCCCCCCCCCCCCCCCCCCCCCCCCCCCCCCCCCCCCCC
rnacentral:lncRNA from 1 species